rnacentral:rRNA from 1 species
AUUGAACGCUGGCGGCAGGCCUAACACAUGCAAGUCGAGCGGCAGCGGGAAAGUAGCUUGCUACUUUUGCCGGCGAGCGGCGGACGGGUGAGUAAUGCCUGGGGAUCUGCCCAGUCGAUGGGGAUAACUACUGGAAACGGUAGCUAAUACCGCAUACGCCCUACGGGGGAAAGCAGGGGACCUUCGGGCCUUGCGCGAUUGGAUGAACCCAGGUGGGAUUAGCUAGUUGGUGAGGUAAUGGCUCACCAAGGCGACGAUCCCUAGCUGGUCUGAGAGGAUGAUCAGCCAACCUGGAACUGAGACACGGUCCAGACUCCUACGGGAGGCAGCAGUGGGGAAUAUUGCACAAUGGGGGAAACCCUGAUGCAGCCAUGCCGCGUGUGUGAAGAAGGCCUUCGGGUUGUAAAGCACUUUCAGCGAGGAGGAAAGGUUGGUAGCUAAUAACUGCCAGCUGUGACGUUACUCGCAGAAGAAGCACCGGCUAACUCCGUGCCAGCCGCCGCUGUAAUAC